UCUGUAGCCUUCGUGGCUCAUCAGUGGUUGAGAAACGUGGUUUUAAAAUAUAUUUUAUUCCCUGUUAAAUCAGCUUUAAAAGACAAGAAAAAAAAGAAACGUCUAUUCCAUCGCAUACGCUUGGUUGGAAAGGGCAACUUAUACCAAGUCAAUGCACACCAACAGAGAGGAUCCUUCUGCAAAUGUUGGGGGAGUUGCAGAGCCAGGUCCAACACCUGACAGGGAUUGUUACCCAAAGACCUCCCUUUUGGGGUAACAGUC